UGGGGAAUAUUGGACAAUGGGCGGAAGCCUGAUCCAGCCAUGCCGCGUGUGUGAAGAAGGCCUUUUGGUUGUAAAGCACUUUAAGCGAGGAGGAGGCUACUUGGAUUAAUACUCUAGGAUAGUGGACGUUACUCGCAGAAUAAGCACCGGCUAACUCUGUGCCCGCAGCCGCGGUAAUACAGAGGGUGCGAGCGUUAAUCGGAUUUACUGGGCGUAAAGCGUGCGUAGGCGGCUUCUUAAGUCGGAUGUGAAAUCCCUGAGCUUAACUUAGGAAUUGCAUUCGAUACUGGGAAGCUAGAGUAUGGGAGAGGAUGGUAGAAUUCCAGGUGUAGCGGUGAAAUGCGUAGAGAUCUGGAGGAAUACCGAUGGCGAAGGCAGCCAUCUGGCCUAAUACUGACGCUGAGGUACGAAAGCAUGGGGAGCAAACAGG
rnacentral:rRNA from 1 species